rnacentral:rRNA from 1 species
CCUCAAGAUGAGAUUUCCCAUAGCGUAAGCUAGUAAGAUCCCUUGAAGAACACAAGGUUGAUAGGUCGGGGGUGUAAGCAUGGUAACAUGUUCAGCUGACCGAUACUAAUAGAUCGAGGGCUUGACCAA